CAGACAUGUCAAAUAAAUAUAUCUUCAGGAAAUAAAUAAAUUAAUAAAUAAAAAACAGUUUGGUUUUAUAAACAUUUACAAAAAUAAUAUUGAAUUACAUUCAAUCACACAUUUAAUAUUUUAUUUAAAAAAUAUUAAAUCUAUUAUUAUUGUUAUUAUAUUAUUUAGUAAUUUACUGUAUCCAAAAAAAAAAAAAAAAAAAAAGAAAGAAAAGAAAUACUGAGUAAUAUACUGUUUUAUUUAAUCUACAGAAAUCAUAGAUAAGAUAUCUCUUGCCAGUGUGCAACUCAUCGACCAAUCAGAGGCCGUGCACGCGCGUGACCAAUAUGAAGCAGCAGAGAAGAAAAUAUGAGAAAUGUAAACGGAUAUGAAUUGGUGCUAAGGAAGAAUUCACCAAUCUUUUGUUUGGAAGAAUAGAGGACACUCAGGACAGUAGAACAUCCGUGAGAAAUGCAUCGCAAUGAGGGUCACUCUUCCUGGAACGGACUGUGACGGUGGCUGUCUUCGAAAGAUUUGGAAUUCAAGAUUUUCUAUGUGGAGACCUUUGGACCCUGAAGUACCGAGAGAGGUAAUCAGUGACAGGAUUACUGCUAACUGCCACCCAGUUAGUAGUGCGAGUGAAAAGAGCCCACCAGCAGAACUUCACAGCAGCAGAGGCAGCGGCUCCCUCUGUGGGUCUGGCCACGCAGCUCGCCCAUGAGGCUCUCUAAUCUAGCUCUGAAUGAAUCCAGUCUGUGCCACUGACUGCCACAUCAGAGCUCAAGUGCUGGCCAGAGUGGAUGAGCUAAUCGUUUCUCUUGGAGGUGUUGGGAUAGCAGAAGAACGAGAGAGCGAGCGGGUGAAUUAGAGAGAGAGAGAAUGGGUGUGGAGAGUGGAGACCACCCACCCGGAGGAUUCAGGAUUCGGGAGGCCCAGACGCGGAGCUCCAUUCUAUGACCCUCUGUGCCGCCCGGAGCUCCAAGCUGGACCCUUCGCAAUUGUGUUGCCGCCCCAAUGUCCCCCAACCCCCACCUCUUUCCCUCCCUCGAGCUAACACAGGGAGAAAGGAGGGGGUGGUGGUAAACAGCCUGUCCCUGUCAUUCCCUCGCUCUCGCUCUCCUUCACAGUACAAUGGGAGGGAAUGCAGUGGCUGAAGCACUUUUAGAGUGGCCAAAUGCUGCAAAGACUGAAUGAAACAUCUGUGGAGGCUCAUAGCCUAAGGGGGAAAUGCUAUUCUGUUGUGCACCAAACUGGCAACCUGUUUUUUCGGACCUUUUUUUUUUUUUUUUUUUUAACUUGGCAUAUGUGAGCAUACUGUAUAAGUGAUUUUUACAAGGGUGCGAAAGAUGUGAUUUUAUGUGUUUUGUUGUUCGGGGGGCAGAUUCCUACAUAUGUUUUCCACAUCCUUAUAAUUUCAUACAUAUUACAAGCUGUUAGAGAAAUGUAAUGAUUUUGUGGAAGUUAUAAACGGGAAACACUUAAGUAAACAUUCUUCGAGAGAGAAAAAUAGGCAAAAUUGCAGAAGAAUGUACUAUAAUCAACUUUAUGUCAUUUUAAACUUAUCAUUGUCUUUUUAUGUUUAGACAGACUUCAAUGAAAACCUGUUUGAAUGUAAAUACUGAAACCAUGUGGUUUGUCUUGAAAGUUUUUUUGCAUAUUAAAAGCAUUCAAAUUAUAAUCGUAUCCUUAUAAAGGUAACAUAAAUGAAUUGGGUUUUUUUCUGCCACAGAGAGAGCCUUUUUCCAUAGACUUUAAAGCAUUUAACCUCUCUGAUGCACCUCCGUGAUACGUACGAUGCCCAGAAGUCCAUCUGGCAUUUUUUGACCAUUUGCCCAUCUGCUAUUUCAUCUGUAUUGUUUAUCAGAUGUUUGUACACAAUAACACAAUGCUUUCCAGAUGAUGAGCUCUGUGACAGAGUACGACAUACUCAGCCCACAUUCCCCACUAGUCCUUGUUACAUUCUUUUAGGGAAAAAAAAAAAAAAAAAUAGUUAUAGUAAUUUAUUGCUGGUCAGUUUAUACUCCAUCCAUAUCCUCAGUUAACUUUUUCCAGUACCUUGAGUGAUUCCUUCAUCCUUCUUGUCGAUUCAACCUUGAAAAUAUACCCCCAUUAGAGGUCUGCUUACCAACCCGAGCCCGACGGGUCCCGAAAAACUUGCAGGUUUCGGGUCAGGUUCAAGUUAAUGUUGUAUAAGUAGCUUUGGGUUUGGGUCAGGUUUGUAACUUAAGAAAAAGAAACGGACUCCAGGUUCAUGUCGGGUACGGGCUCAAAAUGUAACUGUACUAGUUGGGUUGGGUCGGGUUAAAUGAUCUCAAGUACGGGCCGGGUUCAGGCUUCAGUUUAAAGACCGUGCAAUGUACCUUGCCUGGUGGACAUCAGCAAGAUACACCACUAUUAAAUGUUUGGUUCCCAAAAAAAUACAAAUUCUAUCAGUAUUUACACCUUGGAAGGUGAAUUUUUGAAGAAUAAUGCCCACACACUCUUAUAUAUAAUGGAAGUGAAUAAGGAAACUCCAUGUAUCAUAAAAGUUGUCGUUAAGAUUCGCUAUUCCAAGUUUGAACUUCUGAAGCCAUAUGAUAGUCUUGUAUGAGAAAUACACCAAUUUCAAGUUGUUAUUCAAAAAUAUUUACAGCUCUAGACCUGGUCCUAAAAUUGGGGGGAAUGUUUUUGGGUGAAUCAGAUUCAGUUCUCGAGUUUAACUCCUUCAAAUGUGUUCCAGUGGUUAACAUCUCACUGGAGGGGAAGAUUAGAUUUUCAGUGAGUAAUGGCUUAAUUUUUGGUUUGUUCAUCACAUAAAGCUAUCGUAUGGCUUCAGAAGAUUUGGAAUUAGCACACAAGUCAUUUACACAACUUUUUUUUUUUUUUUGGACUUUUGGUGCUUUUUGCAUUCUUUUUGAAAAUUGAAAUGUCCAAACCCCUUUUAUUGUAAUUGCAUGGAAAAGAGUGACCGGUGCAUUCUUCACGAUUUCUUUUUCUUUUGUGUUUCAAGGAUGAAAAACAUACUGUACGUGGAGCAUUGAGGAUGAGUAAACACAUUUUUUGGGUGAACUAUGUAUGUAUGUAUAAAAGCACAUUAGAUUCUUUACCAAAAAGAGAAUAAGAAAUCUACAAAACUGCAAAACUACCUUACAAUCAUUGUGCGCAAGUGUACCUAGGAUAAAAGCUGUUUUAAUAGUCAUAAUGCAUUUUGAUUUGUCAUUUGAUUUAGUUAAUAGAGGUUAACUGACAAAUAAAAUAUAUUUAUGAAAUAUUUUUUUAAAACAUCAACAGUUGCAGCAUUUUUCACAAAUGCUUAAAACUUUUUAGAGUACAUGUGCUUUAACUUUAGCUUUGAAGGUAGAUUUCUUCAAGUGUCUUGGAGAUCUUGCUACAGUUCUUAUGGAUUUAGUCUGUUUCAGUUUAUUUCUGUCUCUUCAUGUAAUUUCAAACAGACUCGAUGAUUGUGAGAUCAGGUCUCUGUGUAGACCAUAUUCUAUGUUGUCGAAAUCCUUAUGUAUACAAAAAUCUUACUGGAUUAUUACAAUUACAGGCAAAAUGAAUUUGAAAAUGUAAACCUUUUUUUUUUUCCU